GAGGGAGGGUGCGAGCGUUAUUCGGAAUCAUUGGGCGUAAAGAGCGUGUAGGCGGCCGGUUAAGUCAGGUGUGAAAGCCCGGGGCUCAACCUCGGAAGUGCACUUGAAACUGGUCGGCUUGAGUUCGGGAGAGGGUAGCGGAAUUCCUGGUGUAGAGGUGAAAUUCGUAGAUAUCAGGAGGAACACCGGUGGCGAAGGCGGCUACCUGGACCGAAACUGACGCUGAGACGCGACAGCGUGGGGAGCAAACAGG
rnacentral:rRNA from 1 species